ACACGAUCAAAAUUGGACUACAAUUUUUGUUCCCCUUUUUUCCUUAUAUAACUAAAGCUUUAAAUAAAUACUCUUGCAAAACAGAUUACCAAAAUUAUCCCAGUAACACCAUUUCCAAUCAAACUUGAAUACAAAGUAAUUCUAAAGCUCCAAAUAGUUACCUAGUUAAAGCAUGCAGUCCCAUAUUUGCACUCACGGUAAACUCACCUAUGUUUUAAAGAGACUAAGGAAGAGGUCACAAAGUUUUAACUCUUAAACUAGCAGAUAUACAAGGGGGAGAUGGUGUGUUGAGAUACCAAAGUAGAUUGUGUGUGCCUUGUGUUGAUGAUUUGAGGCAGAGAAUUAUGGCAGAAGCACAUGGUGUGCGUUAUUCUAUUUAUCUAGGUUCUACCAAGAUGUACCAUGACUUACGAAAGAUCUAUUGAUGUAAUGGUAUGAAGAGAGAUAUGGUGGAGUUCGUAGCUAAGUGUGCAACUUGUCAACAGGUUAGGUAGAGCACCAAAGACAUGGUGGUACGUUGCAAGAGAGAUUGAUGCAUUUUUUAAGUAAAAAUUCUAUAUAGUGCCUUUGCAGUAGUGAGAAUUCAAGUGUGGUGCCUUUACGACAACAAAUAUUAACUUUUUAAUACCACAUUAGCGACUAUUCAUAAUGUGGCACCCAUAAUUUGAGAUUUUAC
rnacentral:lncRNA from 1 species